rnacentral:rRNA from 1 species
UACGUAGGGUGCAGGCGUUAAUCGGAAUUACUGGGCGUAAAGGGCGCGUAGGCGGCGUGUCAAGUCAGGCGUGAAAGCCCCGGGCUCAACCUGGUAACCGCGCUUGAGACUGGCAUGCUCGAGUUCGGGAGAGGAUGGUGGAAUUCCCAGUGUAGAGGUGAAAUUCGUAGAUAUUGGGAAGAACACCGAUGGCGAAGGCAGCCAUCUGGACCGACACUGACGCUGAGGCGCGAAAGCGUGGGGAGCGAACAGG